ACCUUUCUGUGCCUCUCUCUUCUCCAUCUCCUAAACCGGAAAUUAAAAAAUUCCGAAAAACUAAACCCAAUCCCAAACUCAAACCACUUUCUCAUUUUUUUUCAUCUUCUACAUAAAACCUAAAUUCUCCGACAAACCCAAAGACGACAACAAUCGUUCGUUUCUCAUUAAACAAACCCCUUAAUUCACAUGAUUAUUCUUCUUCGUUUUCUCUUGUUUCAUUUGGGUUUGAUUGAUUUUUAUGUUCUUGUCAGGUUUUAGGGUUUUCAUGAAAAAAUCAAAUUCGGGAAAGAUUGUUGUAAAGACUCCAUGGUUUAAGUGAAAUUGGGGAUUAUUUUUUGAAUUUGGAAUUUGUUAGAGAUUUUGAUGUCUUCGUGUUUGUUAUUGCAGCUUUUAUACCAAGAAACAUCAAUCUGAAUUGAUUUUAUUUUAAUACAUUUGAUAGAUUUUCUAUCUUUGUUAGGAUUUUAUUUUAUUGGAUCUGAAUGGUUGUUCUGUCUCAGUUUUCAAUCUGAGAAGUUUUAGAAUCUUAGGUUUCAUUCUUUAAGUGUGGUUUUAUUUAGAAACUUAUCAAUUUACAUUGGUUAUUUUCUGAUUCACAACUAGGGAUGGGAAGAUGAAACUCAAGGCAAUGCUUCCAUCUAUAUGUCAUUUGAUAUCAAUUUGGUAGAAUUCCAAAAUCUUGGCCUCAUGCUUGUUCAGGACUAUAACAUACAAAUCAUGCCAAAGACACAAGAAAAGUAAGACCCAUUUCCUCUAUAUUGCCUGUUGUGUGGGGGAUUAGUUAUUGUUAUAGUAAUUGAUUUGAGUUCUUCAUGUGUUUGAUUGUUUUGAAAAGUGAAAACAUUCCUGUGUGCUUGAAUGUGACAUUGUAGUUGAUCCUAAUAUUCAAGAUGCUGGAAUUUUAUUGAAGCCAAAGCAUGCUAGAAUAUAUUGAAACCAAAGCAAGAAACGGUUGCUUGAUUUGCAGCUCAUCUCCAUUCUACACCUCUAACAUGUUCAUUAUUCUGCAGUCUUCUCUUGUAUCCAACCUUUACUUUAUCUCCCAGGUUACAUAGAACACUCCCAUCAAAUUUUCUCUGCUACUUAUAACUUUAUAAUUUGCAGUUUGGCAGAUAUGGUUGCCAAUCUUUUCCAUGCAAUGUUUUAUCCUCUAUUUAUGAUGUCAUAUUGUGCUUUGUUCUCUAAGACUUGGAUUGGAGUUUCAGGAUCCUCUGUUGGAGAUGUGGCUAAACAGCUCAAGGAGCUUCAGGAAAAAAGCGGUUGAUUGUGCAUGUUGAUAGAACAAAUCCACCGAAUGAUUGAUGAAAUUAUGGAUGCAAGGCGGUGUCAUGCGAUAAAGAUGGAGUACUUUGGAGAUGUUUCAAGAGGUGACAUGAUCAAGUGUCCCAGAGCUUAUGUAAAUUCUGCAGUAGGUUCAAGUUAGAGUGACAAUAUUGGGUAACUGUAGUCUGAAUUAAAUUUAAUGAUUAGGUGUCUGUAGAUUGAGACUUUGGGUUGCUAGAGUUCUUUAAUUCAAUUUGUAUUUGGAUAUUCUUUGUUUUUGAUAAUUGAUAUAAAGUAAUCUGAGUUGUUGUGUUUAA